UACGUAGGUGGCAAGCGUUGUCCGGAUUUACUGGGCGUAAAGAGCGCGCAGGCGGUCGUUCAAGUCGCGUGUGAAAGCCCCCGGCUCAACUGGGGAGGGUCACGCGAUACUGAUCGACUGGAAGGCAGGAGAGGGUAGUGGAAUUCCCGGUGUAGUGGUGAAAUGCGUAGAUAUCGGGAGGAAGACCAGUGGCGAAGGCGGGUCUCUGGACAGUUCCUGACACUGAGGCACGAAGGCCAGGGGAGCAAACGGG
rnacentral:rRNA from 1 species